rnacentral:rRNA from 1 species
CUGAGAGUUUGAUCCUGGCUCAGAACGAACGCUGGCGGCAGGCCUAACACAUGCAAGUCGAGC